rnacentral:lncRNA from 13 species
CGUCACCCAAGCUGGAGAGCAGUGGCUUGAUCGUAGCUCAGUGCAGCCUCUAUCCCCUAGUUUGAAGUGAUCCUCUUGUCUCAGCCUCCCAAGUAGCUGAGACUACAGGUUUCGUUUAAAUGUGACACCAUGGUUUGACGUCCUAAGCCAUAAAAAACAAGCCAGAUUGAUUCUGCAGCUUUCAAAAGAAGAAAAGUUGGCAAACUUUUGGUGGAAGCACACCACACAGCAUUUCCGAUGCCUUUAUUGUCCCCUAGUCAUUGUCUUGUGCCCAAUGGAGGGGGCAUGUUUUAGGAGAUCAGUAGUGGAAGCAGGUGCAGCAGAAGUUCAUCAGAGCCGGAUUAGGAAGUGAGGACAGCAUCAAGGGGUAAAGCCAACUCGUCGUAUGUCAGAACAGAAGAUGCCAAGAACUGAGAAGGCCAGAUUACAGAUUUGGAGGCAUGGAAUACGAGAACUAAUACAGGAGAAACCUGGAUGGCAAGGGCUGAAGGCUUAGCAGUGUCACAAAUAUUUCUGAAUCUUCUGUAUGAAGAAGAACAGAUUUGCUUCCCCUUCCGCCAUGAUUUAAGUUUCCUGAGGCCUCCCAGCCAUCUGGAACUGUGAGUCAAUUAAAGCUCUUUCUUUUAU